UACGGAGGGGGCAAGCGUUAUUCGGAAUUAUUGGGCGUAAAGGGCGCGUAGGCGGCUAGAUGUGUCAAAGGUGAAAUCCCUCGGCUCAACUGAGGAACUGCCUUUGAAACUGUCUGGCUUGAGGCCGGGAGAGGGUAGCGGAAUUCCCAGUGUAGCGGUGAAAUUCGUAGAUAUUGGGAGGAACACCGGUGGCGAAGGCGACCACCUGGACAGAGAUUGACGCUGAGGCGCGAGAGCGUGGGGAGCAAACAGG
rnacentral:rRNA from 1 species